AGGCGGUCCACCGGCAAGAUGUCCCGGCCUGGGAUGCUGGCAGCCAGGUGCUGCUGCUGCCUUGGACAUGCCAAGAAAUAGACACAAUCAGGUAUUUUCCGG